rnacentral:rRNA from 1 species
GGUUGAUCCUGCCAGUAGUCAUAUGCUUGUCUCAAAGAUUAAGCCAUGCAUGUCUAAGUAUAAACCUUUAUACGGUGAAACUGCGAAUGGCUCAUUAAAUCAGUUAUAAUUUAUUUGAUAGUACCUUACUACUCGGAUAACCGUGGUAAUUCUAGAGCUAAUACGUGCAUCAAAGCCCGACUUUUUGGAGGGCUGUAUUUAUUAGGUCAAAACCAAUGCCAGCAAUGGCUUACUGGUGAUUCAUAAUAACUUCUCUGAUCGCAUGACCUUGUGUCGGCGACGUAUCAUUCAAA